ensembl:snoRNA SNORD22 Small nucleolar RNA SNORD22
CAUUAGUGAUGACACCCGUCCGUACAUGUCUUACGCCUUGGGUCAACGCCAGAACCUGAGAAGGUGAACCCACUGGUGCCAAGGCAGCAAGGGGAUAACCUGUUGUGGUUGCAAAUGUCUGAAUGGU